CCUACGGGGGGCAGCAGUGGGGAAUAUUGCACAAUGGGGGAAACCCUGAUGCAGCGACGCCGCGUGAGUGAAGAAGUAAUUCGGUAUGUAAAGCUCUAUCAGCAGGGAAGAAAAUAACGGUACCUGAGUAAGAAGCCCCGGCUAACUACGUCCCAGCAGCCGCGGUAAUACGUAGGGGGCGAGCGUUCGCCGGAUUGACUGGGUGUAAAGGGAGCGUAGACGGCAGUGCAAGUCUGGUGUGAAGGGCGGGGGCUCAACCCGCGGACUGCUCUGGAAACUGUACGGCUGGAGUGCAGGAGAGGUAAGUGGAAUUCCUAGUGUAGCGGUGAAAUGCGUAGAUAUUAGGAGGAACACCAGUGGCGAAGGCGGCUUACUGGACUGUAACUGACGUUGAGGCUCGAAAGCGUGGGGAGCAAACAGGAUUAGAUACCCUUGUAGUC
rnacentral:rRNA from 1 species